CCCCUAGAUGUUCUGGGCCGCACGCGCGCUACACUGAACAGUUCAACAAGUCUUAACCUUGGCCGAUAGGUCUGGGUAAUCUUUGAACGCUGUUCGUGAUUGGGAUAGACCUUUGCAAUUAUGGGUCUUCAACGAGGAAUUCCUAGUAAACGCAAGUCACCAGCUUGCAUUGAUUACGUCCCUGCCCUUUGUACACACCGCCCGUCGCACCUACCGAUUGAAUGGUCCGGUGAAAUCUCGGGACGGCGGCUUGGUCGCUUGCGUCCGACUGCUGAAACUUGAUUAAACCAUAUCAUUUAGAGGAAGGAGAAGUCGUAACA
rnacentral:rRNA from 1 species